rnacentral:rRNA from 1 species
UACGAAGGGGGCUAGCGUUACUCGGAUUGACUGGGCGUAAAGGGCGCGUAGGCGGUCAGCACAAGUCAGUUGUGAAAUCUCCGGGCUUAACUCGGAAAGGUCAACUGAUACUGUGCGACUAGAGUGCAGAAGGGGCAACUGGAAUUCUCGGUGUAGCGGUGAAAUGCGUAGAUAUCGAGAGGAACACCUGCGGCGAAGGCGGGUCGCUGGGCUGACACUGACGCUGAUGCGCGAAAGCCAGGGGAGCGAACGGG